AGCCUGAAGGCGCCCGAUCUUCGUCUGAUCUCGGAAGCUAAGGAGGGUACGGGCCUGGUUAGGAUCUUGGGAUGGGAGACCACCUGGGAAUCCCGGGU
rnacentral:rRNA from 1 species